CAGUAGCCGCGGUAAUACGUAGGGUGCGAGCGUUAAUCGGAAUUACUGGGCGUAAAGGGUGCGUAGGCGGUUCAGCAAGUCUCGUGUGAAAUCUUCGGGCUCAACCCGAAGUCUGCACGGGAAACUACUGGGCUUGAGUAAUGGAGAGGUGAGUGGAAUUUCCGGUGUAGCGGUGAAAUGCGUAGAUAUCGGAAGGAACACCUGUGGCGAAAGCGGCUCACUGGACAUUUACUGACGCUGAUGCACGAAAGCUAGGGGAGCAAACAGGAUUAGAUACCCGAGUAGUCCCUGUCUCUUAUAC
rnacentral:rRNA from 1 species